CACGCGGCACUCCAGGUCCUGUCAGCGCCGCCCGCCGCCCGCCGUGGCUGGCUCCCGACAUUUUGGGCCAAAUUUUGGGUCGCCCGGAAGCCACUUGGGUGUGUCGAGCCCUCAACGGCAGACCAUUCCCUCCGCCCAGCUUCUCCAGCAGCAACUUGGGCCUUAGCACUAGCACAUUCUGUUUUGGCCACACCCCGAAGACUUGGGAAGUGUUGCUCCAUCCUUAGAGUUGUCGAAUGCUGAAUCAAACCUCUGCCCAAAAUUUCUUGUGUCGACUGUGUGCAAGGCACGGUACCUGGAUCUUUAGUGGAGGAGAGACUAUGGAAUUCAGUGUGCCCUUGUGCAAUUAUGUAUUGCCACAUUUGUGCAUAAUAUCACCAGUUCUCAAAAACCCAAGCCCACACACAGAUCUGAGGCCAGCAAAAAUGCCAGUUAAAGCUCAUAUAGAACUUCCCACGUGCCAGGCAUUAUAUGAAGUUCUUCAGAUCUACCAACUCAUUUAAUUCUUCGACAACCUUACAAGUUUUAAAGACGCAAAGUCCAAAGGCCAAGGUGCCAACGGCAGCGUCGGUGUUGUGAGCUGUCCCUUCAUGCGGCAGUCACU